GCCUAGCUGGCUCAGUUGGUGGAGUGUAUGACUCUUGAUCUUGUGUUUGUGAGUUCAAGCUCCAUGUUGGGUG
rnacentral:tRNA from 1 species